UCCUCCCUCUGGCUUCGUGCUUAACACAUGCAAGUCGAACGGAAAGGCCCUGCUUUUGUGGGGUGCUCGAGUGGCGAACGGGUGAGUAACACGUGAGUAACCUGCCCUUGACUUUGGGAUAACUUCAGGAAACUGGGGCUAAUACCGGAUAGGAGCUCCUGCUGCAUGGUGGGGGUUGGAAAGUUUCGGCGGUUGGGGAUGGACUCGCGGUUUAUCAGCUUGUUGGUGGGGUAGUGGCUUACCAAGGCUUUGACGGGUAGCCGGCCUGAGAGGGUGACCGGCCACAUUGGGACUGAGAUACGGCCCAGACUCCUACGGGAGGCAGCAGUGGGGAAUAUUGCACAAUGGGCGGAAGCCUGAUGCAGCAACGCCGCGUGCGGGAUGACGGCCUUCGGGUUGUAAACCGCUUUCGCCUGUGACGAAGCGUGAGUGACGGUAAUGGGUAAAGAAGCACCGGCUAACUACGUG
rnacentral:rRNA from 1 species